CCCAAUGUGGUAUAGUGGUUUGAGUGUUGGACUAGGACUCGAGAGACCAGGGUUCAAAUCCCCACUCAGCCA